rnacentral:rRNA from 1 species
UACGGAGGGUGCAAGCGUUAUCCGGAUUCACUGGGUUUAAAGGGUGCGUAGGUGGGAAAGUAAGUCAGUGGUGAAAUCUCCGUGCUUAACACGGAAACUGCCAUUGAUACUAUUUUCUUGAAUUUUCUGGAGGUCAGCGGAAUAUGUCAUGUAGCGGUGAAAUGCUUAGAUAUGACAUAGAACACCAAUUGCGAAGGCAGCUGGCUACAGGGAUAUUGACACUGAGGCACGAAAGCGUGGGAGUCAAACAGGA